rnacentral:lncRNA from 1 species
UGGCAGAUGGAUCGAUUAACUAUGCCGUUCUCUAUGUCUUUGGGUUUUCAUAUGUUUACGUCUAGUCCGGAGGAUUAGUUCUAUUAUAUUUGAGGAUGGUAUCGGCUUUUCACACACGAGUCUUGUUCGAGUGUAAUCUUAUUUUCUGUUUUAAUAAUACCUAGAUGAUUUUUCUCCUCUCUUUCACCAAAAAAAAAAAAAACAAAAACAAAAUGGUCACAGAGCUAUGCAUUGGCUAUAAUGUAAGAGAAUUGGGUUACCAAAAAGAGAAGGAAGACUGGGUUUCAAGGAUCUAGAAAUCUUCAAUCUGGCUUUACCACGUAAGCAGGUGUGGUGAAUUGUUCAAGCGCCAAAUAGUUUGUUAUCUCGUUUCUUAAAAGCAAAGUAUUUCCCACGUGAUAAUAUCUUUAAUGCAAAUCAUAGAGUUAAAGUUGAAAUCACUACUAGAAGAGAGAGAGAGAUCUGAUUAAGCAAGGAAUGAGAUUGCUAAUUGGGAAUGGAUGUAAUACAAGUAUGUGGUCUGAUCCUUGGUUACCAACACCACCACCACGGCCCCCA